rnacentral:lncRNA from 1 species
CCGGAAACAGCAACUAUGUUCUAAAUGCCACAAGUCAGGUUGGCAUUGAUGAGAAUGGAGGGGAGCCAGCCUCUGGUGAGCGUGGGCAUCCCAGGGACUGCACCUACCUAGCAGUAUCAGUGGACCCCAGGCUGGCAUCAUUAUGAUGGAAGUGAAGUUGUAAGUAGCCCCCUGAGGCUUGUUGUCCUAAUGAAUACC